AACGAACGCUGGCGGCAUGCCUAACACAUGCAAGUCGAACGAGACCUUCGGGUCUAGUGGCGCACGGGUGCGUAACGCGUGGGAACCUGCCCUUAGGUUCGGAAUAACUCCCCGAAAGGGGUGCUAAUACCGGAUAAUGUCUUCGGCCCAAAGAUUUAUCGCCUUUGGAUGGGCCCGCGUUGGAUUAGCUAGUUGGUAGGGUAAAAGCCUACCAAGGCGACGAUCCAUAGCUGGUCUGAGAGGAUGAUCAGCCACACUGGGACUGAGACACGGCCCAGACUCCUACGGGAGGCAGCAGUGGGGAAUAUUGGACAAUGGGCGAAAGCCUGAUCCAGCAAGGCCGCGGGAGUGAUGAAGGCCUUAGGGUUGUAAAGCUCUUUUACCCGGGAUGAUAAUGACAGUACCGGGAGAAUAAGCUCCGGCUAACUCCGU
rnacentral:rRNA from 1 species